rnacentral:rRNA from 1 species
AUUGAACGCUGGCGGCAUGCCUUACACAUGCAAGUCGAACGGUAACGGGCCUUCGGGUGCCGACGAGUGGCGAACGGGUGAGUAAUACAUCGGAACGUGCCCGAUCGUGGGGGAUAACGAGGCGAAAGCUUUGCUAAUACCGCAUACGAUCUACGGAUGAAAGCAGGGGACCGCAAGGCCUUGCGCGGACGGAGCGGCCGAUGGCAGAUUAGGUAGUUGGUGGGAUAAAAGCUUACCAAGCCGACGAUCUGUAGCUGGUCUGAGAGGAUGAUCAGCCACACUGGGACUGAGACACGGCCCAGACUCCUACGGGAGGCAGCAGUGGGGAAUCUUGGACAAUGGGCGCAAGCCUGAUACAGCCAUGCCGCGUGCAGGAUGAAGGCCUUCGGGUUGUAAACUGCUUUUGUACGGAACGAAAAGCCUUCUUUUAAUACAGGAGGGUCAUGACGGUACCGUAAGAAUAAGCACCGGCUAACUACGUG